GAUGAAGAACGUAGCGAAAUGCGAUACUUGGUGUGAAUUGCAGAAUCCCGUGAACCAUCGAGUCUUUGAACGCAAGUUGCGCCCGAAGCCAUUAGGCCGAGGGCACGCCUGCCUGGGCGUCACACGUCGUUGCCCCCCCAUCUACUCCUUCGGGAUUGCGGGGGGCGGAUGAUGGCCUCUCGUGCGCCUCGUCGCGCGGUUGGCCUAAAUGCCAAGUCCUCGGCGACGCACGCCACGACAAUCGGUGGUUGCGAAACCUCGGUUGCCUGUCGUGUGCGGUCGUCGCGCAUCGAGGGCUCGAAAAAAUUGCCGGGCUUCGGCUCGACUUUCAACGCGACCCCAGGUCAGGCGGGGUUACCCGCUGAAUUUAAGCAUAUCAAUAAGCGGAGGGA
rnacentral:misc_RNA from 1 species